rnacentral:lncRNA from 1 species
UUUUUUUAUCCGUAAUUCUAAACACUUAAAUGAAUCAAUUUCACUUUAUAUAUAUAUAUAUAUAUAUAUAUACUAUACUAUUAAUCAUACGAAACGUUUGAUGCUAUUAGAUUUUCGGUCAUUGUAUGAAAAUGUGUGCGAUUAGAAUAAUAGUGGUUCUCUAAAAUUAAGUGGGUGGUUGGUUGGUUGAAUAUUAUAAUCUAAUAUAUGAAAAUGAUCAAAGAGUUAUAUCUAAUAGCGGAAAACUCGAUAGCACUAGGCGCUUGUAUCUAUCUAUAGUAUAGUAGCCGGACUCUCUCUCUCUCUCUCUCUCUCUCUCUCUCUCUCUCU